rnacentral:rRNA from 1 species
CCCGCACAAGCGGUGGAGCAUGUGGUUUAAUUNGAUGCAACGCGCAAAACCUUACCUGGUCUUGACAUGUACCGGACGGUUAUCAGAGAUGAUGCCUCUCUUCGGAGCCGGUAUGCAGGUGCUGCAUGGCUGUCGUCAGCUCGUGUCGUGAGAUGUUGGGUUAAGUCCCGCAACGAGCGCAACCCUUGCCUUUAGUUGCCAGCAUUUAGUUGGGCACUCUAGAGGGACUGCCGACUUUAAGUCGGAGGAAGGUGGGGAUGACGUCAAGUCCUCAUGGCCCUUAUGACCAGGGCUACACACGUGCUACAAUGGUUGGUACAGAGGGAAGCUAAAUCGCGAGAUCAAGCAAAUCCCACAAAGCCAAUCUAAGUUCGGAUCGGAGUCUGCAACUCGACUCCGUGAAGUUGGAAUCGCUAGUAAUCGUGGAUCAGAAUGCCACGGUGAAUACGUUCCCGGGCCUUGUACACACCGCCCGUCACACCAUGAAAGUUGGCUGUACCAGAAGUCGCUGUGCUAACUUCGGAGGCAGGCGCCCAAGGUAUGGUUGAUGAUUGGGGUG